rnacentral:rRNA from 1 species
UACAGCGGGUGCGAGCGUUGUCCGGAAUCGUUGGGCGUAAAGCGCGUGUAGGCGGCUUUGCAAGUCGGAUGUGAAAGCCCACGGCUCAACCGUGGAAGUGCAUCCGAAACUGCAUGGCUUGAGUCUCGGAGAGGAAGGUGGAAUGCUUGGUGUAGAGGUGAAAUUCGUAGAUAUCAAGCAGAACACCUGCGGCGAAGGCGGCCUUCUGGACGAUGACUGACGCUGAGACGCGAAAGCGUGGGGAGCAAACAGG